UUGGACGGUCAUAGUGGCGAGGUUCCACCUGUUCCCAUUCCGAACACAGAAGUUAAAAUCGUCGACGUGUCUGGGUGUACUACACUUUGUGUGGGAAACCAGAUUCGCUGUCC
rnacentral:rRNA from 1 species